rnacentral:rRNA from 1 species
AUGGACACGAGGAGCAGUACCAACAUCGAACCGCCUCCGUCGUCCGUCAAGACAAGCUUCCUCAAGACUUGCUUCAAUGGAAUCAACGCACUGUCAGGGAUCGGGCUGCUGUCGAUUCCCUACGCACUUGCCCAGGGCGGCUGGCUAAGUCUGAUCGUCUUCCUCACCAUCGCCGUCAUCUGCUUCUACACGGGGCUUCUCCUGCAGAGGUGCAUGGACUCCAGCUCGCUCGUCCACACCUACCCGGACAUCGGAGCCCACGCCUUCGGCCGGAAAGGCCGCUUCAUCGUCGCCGCCAUCAUGUACGUCGAGCUCUACCUCGUCGCCAUCGACUUCCUCAUCUUGGAAGGGGACAACCUGCACAAGCUGUUUCCGGCGGUGAGCUUCCGGCUGGGCACGCUCCACAUCGGAGGCCAGCAGGCGUUCGUGCUGGCCGCCACGCUGGCCGUGCUGCCGACCACGUGGUUCCGCAACCUCAACUUGCUGGCGUACGUCGCCGCCGGCGGUGCACUCGCGUCAGUCAUCCUCAUUGGCGCUGUCCUGUGGGUCGGGGUGUUGGACGGCGUCGGGUUCCAUGAGAGGGGCAGGCUGGUGCACUGGGCCGGCUUGCCCAGCACCAUGAGCUUGUACUCGUUUUGCUUCAGUGGACAUGCUGUGUUUCCGAUGCUAUACACGGGGAUGAAAGACAGGAAAAGACUCCCCAUGAUAACCCUCAACCUGCCGUCUUCUAGCGUGGCCGCCAAGGUGGCGAUAUACUCGACACUGGUGAACCCACUGACCAAGUACGCUUUGAUGUUGGCCCCCGUCGCCGAGGCCACCGAGAGCGCGCUCGGCGUCAGCAAUAGCGCGGUGCUUGGUGCUCUCGUCAGGACGGGGCUCGUCGUUGGAACCACCGUCGUAGCACAGGCUGUUCCCUUCUUCGCCGACGUUGUGGGCCUAACAGGCGCGCUCUUUGGCUGCACGACGACGAUGCUGCUGCCGUGCCUGUGCUACCUCAGGGUCCGCUCCAAGAUCGGGGGCGUCAUCAAGACGGGGCUGGAGACGGCAGCUUGCCUGGCCAUCCUUGCGGUUGGCGCCGUGAUUGUUGGCUUCGGAACUUACAGCUCUGUGAAGCAGAUACAUCAGAGGUUGCGGUGA